rnacentral:rRNA from 1 species
GACGAACGCUGGCGGCGUGCUUAACACAUGCAAGUCGAACGAAGAGCGACGGAAGCUUGCUUCUAUCAAUCUUAGUGGCGAACGGGUGAGUAACGCGUAAUCAACCUGCCCUUCAGAGGGGGACAACAGUUGGAAACGACUGCUAAUACCGCAUACGAUCUAACCUCGGCAUCGAGGAUAGAUGAAAGGUGGCCUCUACAUGUAAGCUAUCACUGAAGGAGGGUAUUGCGUCUGAUUAGCUAGUUGGAGGGGUAACGGCCCACCAAGGCGAUGAUCAGUAGCCGGUCUGAGAGGAUGGACGGCCACAUUGGGACUGGGACCCGGCCCAGACUUCUACGGGAGGCAGCAGUGGGGAAUCUUCCGCAAUGGACCGAAGUCUGACGGAGCAACGCCGCGUGAGUGAUGACGGCCUUCGGGUUGUAAAGCUCUGUUAAUCGGGACGAAAGGCCUUCUUGCGAAUAGUGAGAAGGAUUGACGGUACCGGAAUAGAAAGCCACGGCUAACUACGUG